UACGAAGGGGGCUAGCGUUGCUCGGAAUCACUGGGCGUAAAGCGCACGUAGGCGGACUCUUAAGUCGGUGGUGAAAUCCUGGAGCUCAACUCCAGAACUGCCUUCGAUACUGAGAGUCUCGAGUCCGGGAGAGGUGAGUGGAACUGCGAGUGUAGAGGUGGAAUUCGUAGAUAUUCGCAAGAACACCAGUGGCGAAGGCGGCUCACUGGCCCGGAACUGACGCUGAGGUGCGAAAGCGUGGGGAGCAAACAGG
rnacentral:rRNA from 1 species